rnacentral:rRNA from 1 species
UACAGAGGUCUCAAGCGUUGUUCGGAUUCAUUGGGCGUAAAGGGUGCGUAGGCGGCGCGGUAAGUCGGGGUGUGAAAUCUUGGAGCUUAACUCCGAAACUGCAUUCGAUACUGCCGUGCUUGAGGACUGGAGAGGAGACUGGAAUUUACGGUGUAGCUGGUGAAAUGCGUAGAUAUCGUAAGGAAGACCAGUGGCGAAGGCGGGUCUCUGGACAGUUCCUGACACUGAGACACGAAGGCCAGGGGAGCAAACGGGG